rnacentral:lncRNA from 1 species
CUUGAAGUUCAACUAGGGCACAAAAUAUCUUGAUUUUUAUUCUAGUGGCAUCUUUGAUUGAACUUACUAACAAAGUUAUAGAUCAUUGGACUUUUAUGCUAUUGACACCUUAGAUCAAACUUACUAACAAAUUGUCCAAUUUUUGCACUAUUGACACCUUACACUACAAAAAUAGAGAAAUUGCCAACUUUUAUUUGCCGAUACUAGUUAAAAGCAUCAGCAAUUUUUAAAUAUUGUGCCCACCUGCCGAU